UGGAUCCAGACUUUGAUUAUGGCUCAGGAUGAACGCUGGCGGCGUGCCUAAUACAUGCAAGUCGAACGAAACUUCUUUAUCACCGAGUGCUUGCACUCACCGAUAAAGAGUUGAGUGGCGAACGGGUGAGUAACACGUGGGCAACCUGCCCAAAAGAGGGGGAUAACACUUGGAAACAGGUGCUAAUACCGCAUAACCAUAGUUACCGCAUGGUAACUAUGUAAAAGGUGGCUAUGCUACCGCUUUUGGAUGGGCCCGCGGCGCAUUAGCUAGUUGGUGGGGUAAAGGCUUACCAAGGCAAUGAUGCGUAGCCGAACUGAGAGGUUGAUCGGCCACAUUGGGACUGAGACACGGCCCAAACUCCUACGGGAGGCAGCAGUAGGGAAUCUUCCACAAUGGGCGAAAGCCAGAUGGAGCAACGCCGCGUGGGUGAAGAAGGUCUUCGGAUCGUAAAACCCUGUUGUUAGAGAAGAAAGUGCGUGAGAGUAACUGUUCACGUUUCGACGGUAUCUAACCAGAAAGCCACGGCUAACUACGUGCCAGCAGCCGCGGUAAUACGUAGGUGGCAAGCGUUAUCCGGAUUUAUUGGGCGUAAAGGGAACGCAGGCGGUCUUUUAAGUCUGAUGUGAAAGCCUUCGGCUUAACCGGAGUAGUGCGUUGGAAACUGGGAGACUUGAGUGCAGAAGAGGAGAGUGGAACUCCAUGUGUAGCGGUGAGAUGCGUAGAUAUAUGGAAGAACACCAGUGGCGAAAGCGGCUCUCUGGUCUGUAACUGACGCUGAAGUUCGAGAGCGUGGGUAGCAAACAGGAUUAGAUACCCUGGUAGUCCACGCCGUAAACGAUGAAUGCUAAGUGUUGGAGGGUUUCCGCCCUUCAGUGCUGCAGCUAACGCAAUAAGCAUUCCGCCUGGGGAGUACGACCGCAAGGUUGCAACUCAAAUGAAUUGACGGA
rnacentral:rRNA from 1 species